AUCGAACGCUGGCGGCAUGCCUUACACAUGCAAGUCGAACGGUAACGCGGGGCAACCUGGCGACGAGUGGCAAACGGGUGAGUAAUGCAUCGGAACGUGCCCGGUAGUGGGGGAUAACUGCUCGAAAGAGCAGCUAAUACCGCAUACGACCUGAGGGUGAAAGGGGGGGAUCGCAAGACCUCUCGCUAUCGGAGCGGCCGAUGUCGGAUUAGCUAGUUGGUGGGGUAAAGGCCCACCAAGGCGACGAUCCGUAGCUGGUCUGAGAGGACGACCAGCCACACUGGGACUGAGACACGGCCCAGACUCCUACGGGAGGCAGCAGUGGGGAAUUUUGGACAAUGGGCGCAAGCCUGAUCCAGCCAUGCCGCGUGCGGGAAGAAGGCCUUCGGGUUGUAAACCGCUUUUGUCAGGGAAGAAAUCUUCUGGGUUAAUACCUCGGGAGGAUGACGGUACCUGAAGAAUAAGCACCGGCUAACUACGUGCCAGCCGCCGCCGUAACAC
rnacentral:rRNA from 1 species